ACCCCCUUAGUACAUAAGUAUGGGUGACUUCCACUCACCAGGUCCUAGCGUCCCUGCUAGGAGGGA
rnacentral:tRNA from 1 species